GGACCUGACUGCUAUCGGAUUGAUACUAAGCCAUGCGAGUCAUUGUAGCAAUACAAGGCAUACGGCUCAGUAACGCGUAGUCAACCUAACCUAUGGACGGGAAUAACCUCGGGAAACUGAGAAUAAUGCCCGAUAGAACAUUAUGCCUGGAAUGGUUUAUGUUCCAAAUGAUUUAUCGCCGUAGGAUGGGACUGCGGCCUAUCAGUUUGUUGGUGAGGUAAUGGCCCACCAAGACUAUUACAGGUACGGGCUCUGAGAGGAGUAGCCCGGAGAUGGGUACUGAGACACGGACCCAGGCCCUAUGGGGCGCAGCAGGCGAGAAAACUUUGCAAUGUGCGAAAGCACGACAAGGUUAAUCCGAGUGGUUUCUGUUAAAGAAACCUUUUGUCAGUCCUAGAAACACUGAUGAAUAAGGGGUGGGCAAGUUCUGGUGU
rnacentral:rRNA from 1 species